GACGAACGCUGGCGGCGUGCUUAACACAUGCAAGUCGAACGAAGUGGCGAAUGGGUGAGUAACGCGUAAUCAACCUGCCCUUCAGAGGGGGACAACAGUUGGAAACGACUGCUAAUACCGCAUACUGAAGGAGGGGAUUGCGUCUGAUUAGCUAGUUGGAGGGGUAACGGCCCAACAAGGGCAGGAUCAGUAGCCGGUCUGAGAGGAGGAACGGACACACUGGGACUGGGAAACGGCCCAGGAGCCCACGGGAGGCAGCAGUGGGGAAUCUUCCGAAAUGGACGAAAGUCCUACGGAGCAAAGCCGCGUGAGUGAUGACGGCCUUCGGGUUGUAAAGCUCCGUUAAUCGGGACGCGGUACCGGAAUAGAAAGCCACGGCUAACUACGUGCCAGCCGCCGCGGUAAUAC
rnacentral:rRNA from 1 species